rnacentral:rRNA from 1 species
AGCAGCCGCGGUAAUUCCAGCUCCAAUAGCGUAUAUUAAAGUUGUUGCAGUUAAAAAGCUCGUAGUUGAAUUUUAGGCCUGACCGGACGGUCCGUCUCUGGCGAGUACUGUUCUGUUGUCGGGUCUAUCCUUCUGGUGAGCCGGUAUGUCCUUUAUUGGGUGUGUCGGGGAACCAGGACCAUUACCUUGAAAAAAUUAGAGUGUUUAAAGCGGGCUUUUGCUUGAAUAGAUUAGCAUGGAAUAAUAGAAUAGGACGUUGGUUCUAUUUUGUUGGUCUAGGACCACCGUAAUGAUUAAUAGGGAUAGUUGGGGGCAUUAGUAUUCAAUUGUCAGAGGUGAAAUUCUUGGAUUUAUUGAAGACUAACUACUGCGAAAGCAUUUGCCAAGGAUGUUUUCAUUAAUCAAGAACGAAAGUUAGGGGAUCGAAGACGAUCAGAUACCGUCGUAGUCUUAACCAUAAACUAUGCCGACUAGGAAUCGGGCGACGUUAUUUUCAUGACUCGCUCGGCGCCUUAUG